GUGGGGAAUAUUGGACAAUGGGCGAAAGCCUGAUCCAGCCAUGCCGCGUGCAGGAUGAAGGCCUUCGGGUUGUAAACUGCUUUUGUACGGAACGAAAAGACUCUGGUUAAUACCUGGGGUCCAUGACGGUACCGUAAGAAUAAGCACCGGCUAACUACGUGCCAGCAGCCGCGGUAAUACGUAGGGUGCAAGCGUUAAUCGGAAUUACUGGGCGUAAAGCGUGCGCAGGCGGUUAUAUAAGACAGAUGUGAAAUCCCCGGGCUCAACCUGGGAACUGCAUGUGUGACUGUAUAGCUAGAGUACGGCAGAGGGGGAUGGAAUUCCGCGUGUAGCAGUGAAAUGCGUAGAUAUGCGGAGGAACACCGAUGGCGAAGGCAAUCCCCUGGGCCUGUACUGACGCUCAUGCACGAAAGCGUGGGGAGCAAACAGGAUUAGAUACCCCAGUAGUCC
rnacentral:rRNA from 1 species